rnacentral:misc_RNA from 1 species
CCUGGCCUUGGGCCGCUCGCGGGAGCUCGUCGCUUGCGACGGUGCUCUCGGGGGUGCUUAGCCCUUGAUCAUCACCUUGAUUAUGCGCACCUUUGUUGUUCCCUCGGCAGUUCGCUGCCGCCAGGGACCCGAAAACCUUUUUGUAUAAGCAUAAAACCUCUGAAAACAAAUUUAAUUAUUUA